CAUGAAGCUGGAAUCGCUAGUAAUCGCGGAUCAGAAUGCCGCGGUGAAUACGUUCCCGGGUCUUGUACACACCGCCCGUCACACCAUGGGAGUCGGAAAUGCCCGAAGUCUGUGACCCAACCUGAAAGGGAGGGAGCAGCCGAAGGCAGGUCGGAUGACUGGGGUGAAGUCGUAACAAGGUACC
rnacentral:rRNA from 1 species